UAUCGAAGAAAACGAUCAGCAUGGUUUUGAAUUUGGAUUACGACUGAAUUGGAUUCCGGUGCACUCUCAACCUUCAGAAAAUAAUUUAUGCCACUCAAAAACACGCGCCCGAGGUAGGAAAUCCUCACUAUAGGCCUCUUUUAACAACUUAUAGCACUCAGUUGUAGUUUUUUUAGUUUAACGAGAAAAUUUUACGUUUAUCCGUUGCUCAUGUUUUUCGUCACACAUCGUUUU